GCCACUUGUUGAUGUUGCGAAUUUCUGUUACCUUUUUCGAUAUUUUACUGGAUUUUUGAUACGUUUUACACACAUAUAUUGACACAAUUUUUCCACAUCAUGGACACAGAGGACAAGACUGAAUUACAGGACCAUGAGCAUGACGAGGACUUGGCAGUUUUAUCAAUAAACCAAUGUAAACAUAACCUGACUGUAUGAGCUUCGCGAGUUAACAUUAGGGCCUGUAUCAGUGUAUGAAAACUGCCUGGCAAGAUUCAAAGCUUGGAAUGGAGAAUUGGGCAUCAACUUUCAUCACCGAUUUAUAACAGUGUUUUUAAUGAGGUAUGAGACAGAAAAAGAGGGCAAAGAAACAUUAAACCGAUAUAAAGUUGGGAAGGCCUACCAGUACUUCCAGAGCCAGUGACUGUCACUGAAAGAAGUGUUUUACCACCCUAUUGACAGAACCAGUCCAUAUUGCUUUCUGUGUGCCGCAUGUACCCCUCACAGAGCCUGUGUUCUGAGCCUCAUACAGGGUUUGGACAAACAUGUACCAAUCAUGUUGCAGGAUUAAGGAUAGUGAGGAGGUCAACUUUUAAGCAACCUUUUCAGAUGCAUUUAGAGAAACCUUACCCGAUGCUUGUUUAUUUAAAGGUCUAGAUGUUGAUCCACCUCACCAAGCCAAGGAGAAGGAACCACAUGCUUCCGGAGCAGAUAUGAUUGAGGAGGAUUGCUUACAGAUCGACGUCCAACAAUACUACAUGAAAUCUAUGUUAUCAUCAUUUUAACAAUCUGACACUAGCAUCAAGAUCCAUCCCUUUACCAUUAUAUAAGUAACAGUACUAAAGCUCAAUCUUCCAAUAGUUGGAGUCUACAUUUUUUAUUGUGGUUAAUAUGCAUAUUUACCUGUGAAUUUUCCAUUUCUGGGCUAUAUAUGUUUUAUUUUUAAAUAAUAUUUGUCUCAAAUAAACUGCUAUUAAUAUACCUGUAUUUUACUGAAUUUAAGUAAC